rnacentral:misc_RNA from 1 species
UGGAAUUGUAUCCAAGGCAUUGAUAGCGAUAUUGAAGAAAUAAUAUCGUAUCCAUGGAGAUAAUGCAACGCAUAGAUGCAUGCCCAACAGCUGAUACUCUUGCUAAUAAUAAUUGGCUUUCCUAAUAAAACCCACAUUUCAAUUCCUCAAUUUCGCUAUCAAUGCCUUGGAUACAAUUCCAAGAGCAGUGUUGAGAACCAAAAAAAA